GGGAGGGAAACGAUACGUAUAGCAAAUUUUGGAACCAGAGCAGUUGUACGAUAUAGGCCAAGGCAAAGGAGGUAAAACAAGGGCGAAAGGGGGUAAAACAAGGUUGCCUGCAAAUGAGGCUACGUUCCGCUAUCACAGUUCUUUCGUAAAUUAUUUUGGGGGCAUACCCUACACCUAGCGUCUGUCCCUGCAGUUUCUUUCCUUCUUUUUUUCUUUCUUCCCUUUCCUUCUUUUCUCUCUUUCCCCCUUUUCUUCCUUCCCUUUUUUCUUUCUGCCAGCAUAAAAAAUUUUCUGGGACACCUGCUCACAUUCUUCUCGCAUGAACUCCUUGUUUAUUUAAAAAAAUUAAACUUAUACUUAU